rnacentral:misc_RNA from 1 species
CCAAUAGCGUAUAUUAAAGUUGUUGCAGUUAAAAAGCUCGUAGUUGAAUUUCGGGAUCAAGUCGUCGGUCGUGCCUCGGUACGCACUGGUGACAUUGGUUUCUCCCUUCUGAAGAACCUUGAUGUCAUUAAUUUGGUGUCUUGGGGAAUCAGGACUGUUACUUUGAAAAAAUUAGAGUGUUUAAAGCAGGCUCACGCUUGAAUACAUUAGCAUGGAAUAAUGAAAUAGGACAUUUGAUUCUAUUUUGUUGGUUUCUAGGAUCGACGUAAUGAUUAAUAGGGAUAGUUGGGGGCAUUAGUAUUCAAUUGUCAGAGGUGAAAUUCUUGGAUUUAUUGAAGACUAACUACUGCGAAAGCAUUUGCCAAGGAUGUUUUCAUUAAUCAAGAACGAAAGUUAGGGGAUCGAAGACGAUCAGAUACCGUCGUAGUCUUAACCAUAAACUAUGCCGACUAGGGAUCGGAUGAUGUUAAUUUUUUAAUGACUCAUUCGGCGCCUUACG